UUUCCCGUACUAACUCAGUAUCACCGCCACGAGAUGUCUCACCAUCACCACUACAGGAUACUACUAAUAUAGCAUCGCUACCAAUUAAUGCCGAAAAUACAAAUACUAAGGAAUCAACCCCUACUCCACGGGGAACGAAGAGGAAGUCAAAUAUAAUUGACACUCAAAUUAAGUUCUUUAAUGUAUGCACAGAAGCUCUUCAAAAAAAGAGCAAACAGAUGACAGAAUAUGAAGCUCUAGGAGUGACAAUUUCAAAAAAAAUUGAAAAAAUGGACAAAGUCCAAGCUCUAUAUGCAGAAUCAAUUAUACAUACAGUUAUGCACAAAGGCAUUUUAAAACAACUAACAGAAACGUCAGAUAUAUGUGAUAAACAAUGCAAAAAAGUUGUAUUUCAUACUAACAUUUCUGGGCCAUCGUCAUCGUCUACCCCACUUCAAGAAAACUCUGAUAUAAUUUUAUCUGAACCUCAACAUACUCAUAACACAGAAAAUACAGAAUCUAUUCUCAGAGAAUACUACCAUAACUAUGAUGACGCUAACUUUUGAAUUCAUUUAAAUUUGAUUAAAAAUGAUUAAGUUAAUUUUGUCUCGUAUUCGUAAUUAAAAAAUGCUUACCCCGGAGCACAAAGUGAAACGUGUCCAAUGUGCCCAAGACUUUCUCGCCAGUUUUGAAGAGGAAGGGGAAGAAUUUCUCGAUUCAAUCGUUACAGGAGAUGAAACAUGGGCUCAUUAUUACAUACCGGAAACGAAGGAGCAGUCGAAACAAUGGAGACACACGCAUUCGCCUAAAGUUAAAAAAUUUAAGCAAGAAUAAUCAGCAGGCAAGGUUAUGGCCACCGUCUUUUGGGACAGAAAGGGUGUAUUGCUGAUCGAUUUCAUGCCUCGUGGAACAACCAUAAAUGCUGAUCGGUACUGUGAGACCUUGAGGAAACUUCGAAGAGCUAUUCAAAAUAAACGAAGAGGGAUGCUGACCAAGGGAGUACGACUUCAUCACGACAACGCGCGUCCUCAUGUGGCCAACAAAACAACGUCACUCAUUACGGAAUUUGGUUGGGAUGUGUUGGACCACCCUCCUUACAGUCCCGACGUCGCCCCUAGUGACUUCCACAUGUUUCCAUGAAAAUUCCAUUUUCAUUUUAAUGUUCGCGAAAUUUGCGAAUGAUGAAGAGGUGCAUGAAGCGGUCAUUUCGUUCCUGCGCGAGGCGGCGGGAUCAUGGUUCGAGGAGGGGAUACAAAAGUUUGUCGUACGAAUGAAGAAACUCAUCGAAGUGAAUGGCGAUUAUAAAGAAAAAUAGCUUAGAUUUCAAGCUUUACAGCAAUGUAUUAAAUUUUGUAAAUACAUGUUAUUUAAUGUGAAAAAAAUAAAUGGAGACCUUACUUUAAAUACA